rnacentral:lncRNA from 1 species
AGAAAAGGCAUAACUGGGUUUUAUGGUUCCCUGGCUGAAGGUUAAAGGAAAACCACGAAAGAGGGGAGAAGGCCAGUAGAGGAGAAGCCACCAUGGGUUAGGUGAGUCAUGAAAACGUGGCCCUAAGAGCUGGCCAGUUGGAGUUAAGAGCAGCUCAGAUGAAACAUAGUAAAUAAUAACUUGGGGUUAUCAAUAGAAAAGUAAAUUCUAGUAGCAUAGAAAGUAUCUGCUCUUGUGCUGUUUGUAAAUAAUAAAAGUUGUGUGUCUUUUAUCCAGGAACUAGUUAAUCAAGCCACAAACUGGGAUUAAAAAUUCCUACAAGUUAUGAAUCGUUAUUUUAGAAUUUUCCAUUUGUCCUGGCUUUGCUUUAUCUAUUUUGUUACUGCAUUCUUCUUCUUUUUUUUUUUUUUUUCAAUCUUUAAUGCCUCCACUAGUGACUUGGUGAUUAGAGGUGUCAAAAUCUAAUUUACAGUCAUUAAAUAUAAAUUAUAUGAACUAUUGAAUUGAUAUCUCACCUUUCUGUUUUUUUCUUUAACAUAAGAGACACUUCAAGGUGCUUCAGCUGCAAAUUGAAGCAACCAUAGAACUUCAGUGUGUGUUUCUUCCUGGUCCAAUUACAAUGUUCUUCCCUGGAUUCUUGAACGGUUCCUGUGCAGAUGGCCCCUCUAACCUAAUGUACUUUAUAUACCAAUCUCAUAUGCUCCUUCCUUUUCUCUAUGACAAACACUGUCUAAAACAGUUGCUUACAUGUGUAUUAUUAUUCUCUCUCACAUACAUUCAGUAAUUUGCAGAGAAUGAAAAUCCUGUCAUAUAUAUAUACCCUAAAAAUGCUUUUAUAUAGAGUUGGCAUUCAAAAAAAUACCACUGAAUAAGUGGUCCAUUUGUCCCCUCACUGGUGUCUCAGGAGCCCUUCCACAUCCAGUCCUCAUGGCCAUGCAAAGGAUGUUUGGGUGAUGAGUGAGCACUGUACUAGAACAUUUUGCUGAGCUGGUUGUGCAAUGUCUUAAGAUGGGGGAACUUGCUGCAAGGUAUAAGAGGUGUGGGGAACCACAGGGCCGGACCCAAGGGAGAGCUGGGUUCACCGAGCAGGCUGGAGCCUUGCCUACACGCCCCACCCACUCCCCCAGCAGAGAGACUUCAGAGAAGCAACUUCCUCAGACGCUGGUGGAAGCAAAAGGCCCACCAAGUGAAGUGUGCGAAGACUGAAGUUGUUUCUAAAUAAGAGAUGCUACAGCAGAGAUGCACACAGCAGAGUCACAGCCCAGUGUCCUCAUGCCUCAUGCCUCGUUCCAUCGAGUUUGAAUCUCUGGAGACCUUCAGACAUAUCUCUAAAAUGUCCCAUCCUCAAAAGAUGUGCCUUAAGUUAUAUUCCAUAAGCAUAUCAGAUGGUGAUAGCCCCCUGUCUCCGUCUUCCGGGUGUUUUCCAGCGGGUGUUGUUUCUUCUGGUUCUUCCCGGGCUCCUUACUGCCACACCUACGUGGUUCUUCUGAAGGAGGACUUCUGAAAUCUUAGGGUGGAAGUAUGACGCACGGAAAGGUGUUGUUUGUGUCACAUGUCUCUGGGUACUCUACUUUGAACACACCCACAUUACUUGGACCUCUUGGUAAUGUGAAUUUGGGCUGCGUCAGUCUGUCUUUUCCUUUUUUCUUUCUUAAAUUAGUGUUUUGCCUGCAUGUGUAUGUGUGUGAGGGUGUCGGAGUUGCCAUGUGAGUGCUGGGAUUUGAACAUGGGUCCUCUCGAGUAGUCAAUGCUCUUGAACCAUGGAGCCAUCUCUCAGCCCCAAGAGUGUCAGUCUUUAACACAGCCACAGGGAAAAGGGAUUUCUUGAUGGACUCCACUUCUUGGUUGGGUUAGGCUCUGUCCUGAGUUUCUGUGAACACUAAGUGAUAGGGACAGUUGACUGGCUUUGGCAGGCCAUCUCUCCAGCUACCCUGGUUCUCCAAGCCUUUAAGAGGGUAUUUUGAAAACCAGCUUGUUUCUGAUAGCAGAACUAGAACCCCAGCUCUGCCCCCUCCCCUCCUAUUCUCCCCCUCUGGCCCUAGACUAGGGUUGCAAGCUUGGGCAACCAUCCAUGUGUCUUAGUUCACUUUCUGUUUCUGUGAUUUAACAAUAUAACCAAACACAACUUUGAGAGGAAAGGGUUUAUUUUAGCUUAAUGGUUCACAGUCCAUCACAGAGGGAAGUCAGAGCAGGAACCUGGAGGCAGGAACUGAAGCAGAGACCAUGGAGAAGUGCUGUUUCCUGGCUUGUUCCUCAUGGCUCACCCAGUUUGUUUUCUUAUUCCAGGACCACUUGUCCAGGGAUAGUACCAGCCCACAGUGGGCUGGUCCCUUCCACCUACAUGAUUAAGCAAGAGAACACCUGCCUAUCAGCAGCUGAUAGAGGCAUUGUCUCACUUGAGGUCCAUCUUCUCAGAUAGUGCUAGCUUCUGCUGAAGUGACAUAAGCUUUUGUCGUCCUAUAUAACUUAGGUUGUCUUCUGGGAACUCAGUCUUACUGCAUGCAUGGCAGGCAUUUUACUGACUGGGCUUCAGCCCUUCCACCAUUGAUUAGUGACCCUUCAUCUGUUAAGUCUGUCAAGGCCCCUUCUAACUUUAUUGUUGUGGGAGGAAAAUAAUCUUGGCUUUUUCAAACGUGAAUAUAUUUCAGUGCAUCAUAAUUCUUUAUUUUCCCCCAUUUUCAACCCAAACCAACUGCCUUGUGAGUGGGUUGUUAAAAGGGGAAUGUCAAGAGAGUGCGAUUGGUUAAGUCCAUUUCUAGUAUUGGGCAGGGAGCCUAGGCUCUUAAAACUAACCCAGCGAUUCCUGUUGAUUAUAUUGGAGAAGGGGGGAAAUUUUUAUUACCUUUUCAAGACUAUAACUGUGUUGGCUUUAGUGUGCGUGAGCUCAGUGCCUGUUGAAACAUCCGUGUAAGGAGUUUGCCAUUGUGGCUCAUCACUUUGGAGGGUUCUCUCCGUAUUUGCCAGACAUCACGGCAGUGCAAGGCAUAGCAGAGAACAGUUGUUCACCUCAAGUGAACAGGAAGGAGAGAGCAACAGGAAGUGGCCUGGAGCAGUGCACCUCAGUGACCCUCCUUCUUUUGAUAGCCCUGCCUCCUAAAGACUGGGAAACCUAAAGUAGUUACCAGCUGGAGACCAAGUAUUCAGAAUAUUAUCCCACGAGAGGUAGACCUUCCUGAUUGACAAUAGACUUUUUUCUCACAUAAUAUGUCCUAAUUAAGGUUUCCUGUCUCUCUGUUUCUCCAGUUCCUUCUCACCUCCCCUCAUACCCCCACCCAGCCCCUUCUUGUCUCUCACUGGAUGGAAAACAAAUAGAUUUCUAAGGGAUUAUAAUAAGAUAUAAU